GCUAAGUGGGUGGCAGGAGCGGGGGGAGUUCGUGGGGGGGUAGGUGGGUCCGGGAUUAGUGGGCGUAAAGAUCUUGUAGGCGGCGUUGCGGGUCUGCUGGGAAAGCCCGGGGCUGAACCCGGGGCUUGGAGUGGGUACGGGCAGGCUAGAGGGUGGUAGGGGAGACUGGAAUUCCUGGUGUAGCGGUGGAAUGCGCAGAUAUCAGGAGGAACACCGAUGGCGAAGGCAGGUCUCUGGGCCAUUACUGACGCUGAGAAGCGAAAGCGUGGGGAGCGAACAGGAUUAGAUACCCGUGUAGUC
rnacentral:rRNA from 1 species